AACCUGCACACGAUGGGGAGGGCUGGGGAGACGGGGCCCCACUGCCGUCCCCCCACAGAGCACCCCGGCCACGCGCGGGAGCAGCGCUGGUAGCUCACCGGCAUCACAGGCUGAGGACCAGAACGUGGGUUUCAUCCAAGAGCCCAGGGGCAGCCGGGGACACCCACAUGGGCCAAGGAGGAGACGGGCUCAGAGAGGGCAGGCGGCAGGCCCAACGCCACACAGCUGGAGAGGAGCGGGCACCUCCGGGCCUGAGCCCCCAGCCCUGAGCCACGGGACUCCUUCCCAUGUGGGCCCACAGCCCCCCCGACAUUUCUGAUUCUCCCGACCUCAGUGAAAGGAGGGGGCAGCCUCUGCCUGGAAGGAGUGGACGGUCUCACAAAGGCCACUAAACAGUGCUCUGCCACCAGGGCUGCCCCCGCCUAGUCUCCUGGGCACCUGGCCUCCUCCAGGAAUAUACUCGAGUUAUCCAGGCAAUGGCUGCCUAUCACUCGGCAGGAGCAGGUCCAGGCGGAGGUGCGGGGGUCGGCGUGUGCGCAGUCACCUGUGGCACAGGAGUGAAGCUGCCCCGGCUCUCCUGUUGUGGGGAGCGAGGACAUGCACGUCACAUGUCUGGAAACAGCGCCCCCACCCCUCAGCCCCGUUGCUCCAUGAACACAGCGUGGAGAAAGGAAACCAUUAUCCAGCUCUUUGCAGGACUCUCAGCCUCCAGCCCUGCGGAUCAGCUCCUAGACUCAGCAUCCCUGGGCUUGCUCGGCCCCCACUGCAUCCGGCCUGCCUGAGGGCUGGCGGCCAGCACCGUCCCGCGGGGCCCUGGCUGGACCGCCGUGCCGGCCACCUCGCCUGGCCUUCACGGCUCACGGCGGUGGAGGUGCAGCGCCCCCAGGCCUAUCGCUUUCCACAGCCCAUGUCUCCAGCACAGCCUCUGCUUGUGGAAAGUACUGGGGAGCAUUUGGGAUGUGGGUCUGGGCCCCAACCUCACACUUUGUAUUUGUAGCCAGAGCAUGUGACUGUGUCUUGGCGUUUUGCCUUUUCUUGCUUUUAUAAAUUUUUAAAUAAAUGAGCAUAAAUCAGA